rnacentral:rRNA from 2 species
UACGAAGGGGGCUAGCGUUGUUCGGAUUUACUGGGCGUAAAGCGCACGUAGGCGGAUUGUUAAGUCGGGGGUGAAAUCCUGGAGCUCAACUUCAGAAUUGCCUUCGAUACUGGCUUUCUAGAGGCUGGAAGAGGUUAGUGGAAUUCCCAGUGUAGAGGUGAAAUUCGUAGAUAUUGGGAAGAACACCAGUGGCGAAGGCGGCUAACUGGUCCAGAUCUGACGCUGAGGUGCGAAAGCGUGGGGAGCAAACAGG